rnacentral:rRNA from 1 species
CAGAGACGCGAUUGUGCUCGAAAGAAAGCCAUAACACAGGUGCUGCAUGGCUGUCGUCAGCUCGUGUCGAGAGAUGUUGGGUUAAGUCCCGCAACGAGCGCAACCCUUGCCAUUAUUUGCUACAUUUAGUUGGGCACUCUAAUGAGACUGCCGGUGACAAACCGGAGGAAGGGGGGGAUGACGUCAAGUCCUCAUGGCCCUUAUAGGUGGGGCUACACACGUCAUACAAUGGCUGGUACAAAGGGUUGCCAACCCGCGAGGGGGAGCUAAUCCCAUAAAGCCAGUCGUAGUCCGGAUCGUAGUCUGCAACUCGACUACGUGAAGUCGGAAUCGCUAGUAAUCGUGGAUCACAAUGUCACGGUGAAUACGUUCCCGGGCCUUGUACACACCG